rnacentral:rRNA from 1 species
GGGCCCGCACAAGCGGUGGAGCAUGUGGUUUAAUUCGAUGAUACGCGAGGAACCUUACCAGGGCUUAAAUGUAGUAUGACCGGUCUAGAAAUAGGCCUUCCCUUCGGGGCAGAUUACAAGGUGCUGCAUGGUUGUCGUCAGCUCGUGCCGUGAGGUGUUAGGUUAAGUCCUGCAACGAGCGCAACCCCUAUUCUUAGUUGCCAGCGGUUCGGCCGGGGACUCUAAGAAGACUGCCAGCGCAAGCUGAGAGGAAGGUGGGGAUGACGUCAAAUCAUCACGGCCCUUACGUCCUGGGCUACACACGUGCUACAAUGGUACAGACAGAGGGCAGCCACCUGGCGACAGGGAGCGAAUCCUUAAAAGUGCGUCGUAGUCCGGAUUGGAGUCUGCAACUCGACUCCAUGAAGUCGGAAUUGCUAGUAAUCG